rnacentral:tRNA from 1 species
AGGGUUAUAGUUUAUAUUUAAAACUUUCGUUUUGCAAACGGAAAAUUUCAACUCUA